rnacentral:sRNA from 1 species
GCCAGGCACAGUGGCGCAUGCCUGUAAUCCCAGUGGCUCAGGAGGCUGAGGCAGGAAGAUCAUGAAUUCAAAGCCAGCCUAAGCAAAUUAGUGAGGUCCUGUCUCAA